AGAGCGAACGCUGGCGGCAGGCUUAACACAUGCAAGUCGAGCGGGCGUAGCAAUACGUCAGCGGCAGACGGGUGAGUAACGCGUGGGAACGUACCUUUUGGUUCGGAACAACACAGGGAAACUUGUGCUAAUACCGGAUAAGCCCUUACGGGGAAAGAUUUAUCGCCAAAAGAUCGGCCCGCGUCUGAUUAGCUAGUUGGUGAGGUAACGGCUCACCAAGGCGACGAUCAGUAGCUGGUCUGAGAGGAUGAUCAGCCACAUUGGGACUGAGACACGGCCCAAACUCCUACGGGAGGCAGCAGUGGGGAAUAUUGGACAAUGAGCGCAAGCCUGAUCCAGCCAUGCCGCGUGAGUGAUGAAGGCCCUAGGGUUGUAAAGCUCUUUUGUGCGGAAGAUAAUGACGGUACCGCAAGAAUAAGCCCGGCUAACUUCGUGCCAGCAGCCGC
rnacentral:rRNA from 1 species